UUUUUUCAAUUUAAGUGACAAUCGAAACAAGAUUAUUUUUAUUGAAAAUUCAGAGUCAUCAGUUGGGAUAAUUAAUGGUGUCCCAAGUCACCGGUUCAAAUCCCGAAUCGAGGAAAGAUUGACUCUGUUUACGAUUUAAGAACACAGAAAUUCUGGUAAGGAAUUCUGUUAACCCGGGAGAAGGUAUUAGGCAAUUCUCGAGUUCCGUGGUUCUAGCACGGUCGCUUUGAUCAUACUUGGUUUAUUAAAUUAUUUAAUU
rnacentral:lncRNA from 1 species